AACGAACGCUGGCGGCAUGCCUAACACAUGCAAGUCGAGGGGCAGCGAGAAAGUGCUUGCACUUUUGUCGGCGACCGGCGCACGGGUGAGUAACACGUAUGCAACCUGCCCUUGUCAGGGGGAUAAGCGGGGGAAACCCCGUCUAAUACCGCAUAUAUGAUUUGGAGGCAUCUUUAAAUCAGGAAAGAAUUAUCGGACAAGGAUGGGCAUGCGGGACAUUAGGUAGUUGGGGGUGUAACGGACCACCAAGCCGACGAUGUCUAGGGGUUCUGAGAGGAAGGUCCCCCACACUGGUACUGAGACACGGACCAG
rnacentral:rRNA from 1 species